rnacentral:ribozyme from 12 species
UUUUUUUUUUACUUUUUUUUUUUUUUUUUCUUUUUUCUUUUUUGCAAUUUCUCCGUGGAGGUGAAUCAGAUAUGAGGAGAAUAUAAAAAUGGAAGAGACCAAUCCAUAGA